AAUGAACGCUGGCGGCAGGCCUAACACAUGCAAGUCGAACGAGUGGCGGACGGGUGAGUAAUGUCUGGGAAACUGCCUGAUGGAGGGGGAUAACUACUGGAAACGGUAGCUAAUACCGCAUACCAUCAGAUGUGCCCAGAUUGGAUUAGCUUGUUGGUGUGGUAACGGCUCACCAAGGCGACGGUCCCUAGCUGGUCUGAGAGGAUGACAAGCCAAACUGGGAAUGAGACACGGUCCAGACGCCGACGGGAGGCAGCAGUGGGGAAUAUUGCACAAUGGGCGCAAGCCUGAUGCAGCCAUGCCGCGGGUAUGAAGAAGGCCUUCGGGUUGGAAAGUACUUUCAGCGGGGAGGCGUUAACCGCAGAAGAAGCACCGGCUAACUCCGUGCCAGCAGCCGCGGUAAUUC
rnacentral:rRNA from 1 species